UACAGAGGGUGCGAGCGUUGUCCGGAAUCACUGGGCGUAAAGGGCGCGUAGGUGGCGACCCAAGUCGAUGGUGAAAGCUCGCCGCUCAACGGCGAGUCGGCCACCGAUACUGGGUUGCUGGAGCACUGUAGAGGCAGAUGGAAUUCCGGGUGUAGCGGUGGAAUGCGUAGAGAUCCGGAAGAACACCGGUGGCGAAGGCGGUCUGCUGGGCAGUUGCUGACACUGAUGCGCGACAGCGUGGGGAGCAAACAGG
rnacentral:rRNA from 1 species